UCUCUCCAGACCAGCCACAAAAGUAAAUUUCCUGUCCUGACGAAGGAAGUGGUUGUGUGUGAGUGUGUGAAUGUGAUGGUGUCAGUGUGUGUGAGUGUGCUGAUCAGAGCAGCUCUGUAACUGAGAUGAAGACAGCUCUGACAAUUCUUUCCCUCUGUCUCGGUAAGUCAGCGGUAAUCGUUGAGUGUGUGUGUGUGUGUGUGUGUGUUUGUACCCGUAGAGGGUUGAAUUGGAGUGCUGCUGGUUGUGUAGUCCUGUAGAUGGGUUGUGUGUGAGUUUGUUUAUUCUUUGUUUAUUUCUGUUGUCUGUGUCUCAGCUCCACCACCAGGGCCUCCUCCAUCCACCUCUAACCCCCCCACCCACCUACAGGACUACACAACCAGCAGCACUCCAACUCAACCCUCUACAGGUACACACACACACACACACACACACACACACACACACACACACACACACACACACACACACACACACUCACACACACACACACACACACACACACUCACUCACUCACUCACUCACUCACUCACUCUCUCUCUCUCACACACACACACACACACACACACACUUACACACACUCACACACACACAUUUAAAUUAUUUAUUUGAAUCCACCAAUCAUGUUCUGUACAGAAAGGAUUCAAACAUUUCUCAGAGGUUGAAACAUCUCCUACGCCAAACAGCAAGACUACCUAUAGCAGCUGAUACAGAGCAGAACUUUGCUAGUUGUUUUGAUUGUCUCUUACUAAGUCCUGCCAGUCGUAGCCCACUGACCGAAAGCUUAUGGACAUGCCCCAGGCUUCCAAAUAUCAAUACUACCAUCUUACAUGUAUAGCCU
rnacentral:lncRNA from 1 species